GCUGAGAAGCUGGACUGGGCCCGCGAGAGGCUUGAGCAGCAGGUACCUGUGAACCAAGUGUUUGGGCAGGAUGAGAUGAUCGACGUCAUCGGGGUGACCAAGGGCAAAGGCUACAAAGGGGUCACCAGUCGUUGGCACACCAAGAAGCUGCCCCGCAAGACCCACCGAGGCCUGCGCAAGGUGGCCUGUAUUGGGGCAUGGCAUCCUGCUCGUGUAGCCUUCUCUGUGGCACGCGCUGGGCAGAAAGGCUACCAUCACCGCACUGAGAUCAACAAGAAGAUCUAUAAGAUUGGCCAGGGCUACCUUAUCAAAGAUGGCAAGCUGAUCAAGAACAAUGCCUCCACUGACUAUGAUCUAUCUGACAAGAGCAUCAAUCCUCUGGUAAGUAAUGGGUGUUCUGCUCCGUGAGGCCACCCCAGGCCUCGUGCUUUUGGGGAUAGGCUGCUUCCUAGGGGCUGCUAGCAGGAUCAUUAACUGAAGCCAGGACAGCACCUAGCUGUGUCCCUUGUAAGUGGCAUAUUGUCAUUUGAGUCCACUCGUUGGGGUUGGCUGGUGAG
rnacentral:sRNA from 1 species